rnacentral:rRNA from 1 species
GGAGUCUGGGCCGUAUCUCAGUCCCAAUGUGCCCGUUCACCCUCUUAGGCCGGGUAACUAUCGUCGCCUUGGUGGGCCGUUACCUCACCAACUAGCUAAUAGUACGCGGGCCGUUCCUUCUGCGGUUCAAAAGAACCUUUCCUGACUUGCCUCUGACACAAGCCAGCUUAUCCGGUAUUACCUCCUAUUUCUAGGAGCUAUCCCCGUCAAAAGGGUACGUCACCCACGCGUUACUCACCAGUCCGCCGCUCUAGGUUGUAGCAAGCUACAACUUACCGCUCGACUUGCAUGCUUAAGACGCGCCGCCAGCGUUCGUUCUGUGCCACGGAUCAAACUCU